rfam:Triticum aestivum genome assembly, contig: Triticum_aestivum_CS42_TGACv1_scaffold_471534_6AL
AAUAUAAUCCCUUCGCCCAAAAAUACUUGUCAAAGAAAUGUAAGCAUCUGACGUAUUUUAGUUCUAGAUACAUUCAUUUUUAUCCGUUUCUCCAACAAGUAUUUCCGGGCAGAGGGAUUAUAUG